rnacentral:misc_RNA from 1 species
GUUGAUGUGAUGUUGGGUUCUAUUUUUUUUUUUUUCUUGCACAAAAUAUGCUCUGAUACUGUAAAGCCGGUAAAUAGUCCAUCUGAACUGGAACACGAUUUUUUUGUGAGCUUGUUUUUCCCAUAUCUAUGUCAAAGUCGGGCAUUGUUAAUACAAUUUUGUACAUUAAAACAGACCUUAAUUCACUGAGAUUAGUUGAACUUACCCUCAAGGCGAAGAAAAACACUGGAUUUACCUAGAAUCUCUCAGAAUUUCGUUGUGCAAUCUUAGGCUUUGCAUUAGGCGCUGAUGCAGUGUCUAUCCUUUGGUAUCUUGCUGGCAGACCUAGCCGCUGGUUAUGGUUCGAACCUGUUAAA